rnacentral:rRNA from 1 species
CCUUGUGGAAAUUGUGUCUGAGCUCAGAGGCUAAGCAGGGCUGGGCCUGGUUAGUACCUGAAUGGGAGAGCGCUGGGAAUACCAGACGCCACAGGGG